rnacentral:rRNA from 1 species
AGCGAACGCUGGCGGCAGGCUUAACACAUGCAAGUCGAGCGGGCGUAGCAAUACGUCAGCGGCAGACGGGUGAGUAACGCGUGGGAACGUACCUUUUGGUUCGGAACAACCCAGGGAAACUUGGGCUAAUACCGGAUAAGCCCUUACGGGGAAAGAUUUAUCGCCGAAAGAUCGGCCCGCGUCUGAUUAGCUAGUUGGUGAGGUAACGGCUCACCAAGGCGACGAUCAGUAGCUGGUCUGAGAGGAUGAUCAGCCACAUUGGGACUGAGACACGGCCCAAACUCCUACGGGAGGCAGCAGUGGGGAAUAUUGGACAAUGGGCGCAAGCCUGAUCCAGCCAUGCCGCGUGAGUGAUGAAGGCCCUAGGGUUGUAAAGCUCUUUUGUGCGGGAAGAUAAUGACGGUACCGCAAGAAUAAGCCCCGGCUAACUUCGUGCCAGCAGCCGCAGUAAU